CCCCGGCCCGGCCCCCCUUGGCGCACCGGCGCCCUGAGUCCUCGUGGGCGGGGCCAUGGCCGACGCGGGUGUCAUGGCCGACGCGGGUGUCAUGGCCGACGCCGUGGUUGGGCCCGAGACUAGGCCCGAGACUAGGCCCGAAACUAGGCCUCAGACUAGGCCCCAGACUAGGCCUCAGACUAGGCCCCAGACCAGGCCCCAGACCAGGCCCGUAACCGUGGCAACCGGGGCACAUGGGGCCAUCUCCAGGGCAACCAGGGCUGUCGCCGGGACAACCGGAGCCAUCGCCGGGGCAACCGGGGCCACCACCGGGGCAACCGGGGCCGUCGCUGCUGUCAGGCCUGUGAGUAGGCCCGAGAGCAGGCCGGUAACCGUGGUAACUGGGGCUGUCGCCGGGGCAACCCGGGCUGUCUCCAGGGUAACCAGGGCUGUCUCCGGAGCACCGGGGGCUGUCGCCGGGGCAACCAGAGCCAUCGCCAGGGCAACGGGGGCCAUAGCCGUUGUCAGGCCUGCAAGCAAGCCCGAGACCAGGCCUGUAACCAUGGUAACCGGGGCAARCAGGGCCAUCUCCAGGGCAACCGGGGCUGUCUCUAGGGCACCGGGGGUUGUUGCCGGGGUAACCAGGGCCGUCUCCAGGGCAACCGGCGCCAUCGCCGGGGCAACGGGGGCCAUUGCGGCUGUCAGGCCUGUGAGUAGACCCCAGAGCAGGCCUGUGACCGCGGUAACCGGGGCAAGCGGGGUCGUCUCCAGGGCAACCAAGGCCAUCCGCAGGGCGCCGGGGGUUGUCGCCGGGGCAACGGGGGCCGUCUCCGGGGCAACGGGGGCCGUUGCCGCACCCGGGGCCGCCCUCGGGCCUGGGCCUAGGCCCCAGCGUAGGCCCGUAACCGGGGUAACCGGGCCCGUAAGCGGGGUAACCGGGGGAGGCGGGACAGGCGGAGCCGGCCCGCGGCGGGGGCGGGGCCAGUCCGGGGCGGCCCGGGGGCGAGCGGGGGGGCCGGGGGGCGUCCGUGGGGCCGGCGUCCGUGGGGCCGGCGGCCUGGAGGAAGCGGGCGGCGCGGGCCAGGCAUUCCCGGUAGCCGCUGCGGUAGCGCCGCAGGAACAGCUCCGCCAUCGCCGAGGGCUCUGUGGCGGAGAGAGACACCGUGAGGGCCCGCGCCGCCCCCCCCGGCCCCCCGCCACCCCGCGUCACCCCUGCAGCGGCCACCCGGGAAGCCCCACGGCGUCCUGGGUGCCCCAUGGGGGUGUGGGGCAGGAUGCGGCCUCUGCACAACCCCAUAGCGGCCACCUGAGAAGACCCAUGGGGUCCUGGAUGCUCCUUGGUGGGGUGUGGGGCAGGAUGUGGCCCCUGCACAACCCCACAGGAGCCACCCGAGAAGCCCCACCUUGGUGUCCCUUGGGUCCUGGGUGCCCCACGGGGGUGUGGGGCAGGAUGCGGCCCCUGCACAAUCCCAUAGGAGCCACCCAAGAAGCCCCACCUGGGUCCUGGGUGCCCCACGGGGGUGCGAGGCAGGAUGUGGCCCCUGCACAACCCUAUAGGAGCCGCCCAAGAAGCCCCACCUGGGUCCUGGGUGCCCCACGGGGGAGCGGGGCAGGAUGNNNNNNNNN
rnacentral:lncRNA from 1 species